AUGGAUGGGGUGCUUACUUUACAUGAGAUUUUGCAUCAUACUCAUAUUAAGAAGAGAGUUGGCAUCAUUAUUAAGCUUGAUUUCGAAAAAGCUUACGACAAGGUCAACUGGGAUUUCUUGCUUAAGUGCCUUGAGAUCAGAGGCUUUGGUAAGAUUUGGUGCGGUUGGAUGAAGAAAAUUCUCCAUAAUGGCACAAUUAGUGUAAAGCUUAAUAAUACCUCGGGGCCUUACUUUCAGAGCCACAAAGGGGUGCGGCAAGGAGACCCGGUGUCCCCUUUCUUCUUUAAUAUUGCUGCCGAGUGCUUGUGUAAGGUGGUACUGCAAGCACAAGCAAACGGGUUAAUUGAUGGGUUGGCCUUGGAUUUGGUAGAUAAGGGAGUGGCCAUUCUACAAUAUGCAGACGACACAAUCCUGUGCAUUGAACAUAACCCUGAAAAAGCGCUCAACCUGAAACUGUUGCUGUAUAUGUUCGAACUCAUGUCAGGACUGAAAAUUAACUUUCAGAAAAGUGAAAUUCUUAGUGUGGGAGGAGAUGAGAAUAUUUUGAAAGAACAUGCUGAUAUCUUUGGCUGCCAGAUUGGGCAUUUCCCAAUAAAUAUCUUGGUGUUCCUGUUAGUUAUUCGACCCCGAAGGGCGUAG
rnacentral:rRNA from 1 species